AACUUGACUAAACUCAAAAACCCCAUUGUUGUCAGUUCUGAAAAACAUUACUGCUCCUAUCUACAAAGGAGCACCCUCAUUAUCUUAUAGGAAGUUGACUCUCUGCUACCUCACAUAUAAUUAGAAAAAACCCUGAGAAGUUAAGCACAUUGCGGAAGGUCACACUGUUCAACAGUGGUGAAGGCUUAUGCAAGGAUAAAACAAUCCAGAGAAUAGAACAGAGGUCUCACUGAAGUUCCAGUUGAGGAAGUCAAAGAGUCAAGUACAGUUCAUAAG